AAAACAGCUCAAGAGUUCUUCAAAUUCCUCCAUCAAAUCUUCACCAAAUCUUCUCUAAUUCACUUCAAAUUUCACCCACACUUAGUAUAACACUUGAGGAGUAUUUUGAGCUGCAAAAGGGAGCUAAAAAGUCACGGUUUUCUGGAGCAAAGAGUGACCAAAAUUUCUGAUCUAGUCAUCCAAGAAGGCACUCGAGGGAAUCUCCAAGAGGAACUCGGAGCGGACACCUAAACGCUUGUUUGAAAACUACUCGUUUGUUUUGAUUAGGGUUCGAGACCAAGGGUGCUCGUGAGUAGUACUAGAUUGCUUUCUUUUGAAGAUUUUAAGUUAUUUUAUAACGGAUGGCUAU